rnacentral:rRNA from 1 species
UACGUAGGGCGCAAGCGUUAUCCGGAAUUAUUGGGCGUAAAGAGCUCGUAGGCGGUUUGUCGCGUCUGCCGUGAAAGUCCGGGGCUCAACUCCGGAUCUGCGGUGGGUACGGGGCAGACUAGAGUGAUGUAGGGGGAGACUGGAAUUCCUGGUGUAGCGGGUGAAAAUGCGUAGAGAUCAUGAGGAAGACCAGUGGCGAAGGCGGGUCUCUGGACAGUUCCUGACACUGAGACACGAAAGGCCCAGGGGGAGCAAAACGGGG